rnacentral:rRNA from 1 species
UACAGAGGUCCCAAGCGUUGUUCGGAUUUACUGGGCGUAAAGGGCGCGUAGGCGGCAAUUCAAGUCAUCUGUGAAAUCUCCGGGACUUAACUCGGAAUGGUCAGGUGAUACUGCUUUGCUAGAGUGCAGAAGGGGCAAUCGGAAUUCUUGGUGUAGCGGUGAAAUGCGUAGAUAUCAAGAGGAACACCUGAGGUGAAGACGGGUUGCUGGGCUGACACUGACGCUGAGGCGCGAAAGCUAGGGGAGCAAACGGG